rnacentral:rRNA from 1 species
GACGAACGCUGGCGGCGUGCUUAACACAUGCAAGUCGAGCGGAAAGGCCCUUUCGGGGGUACUCGAGCGGCGAACGGGUGAGUAACACGUGAGUAAUCUGCCCCUGGCUUUGGGAUAGCCACCGGAAACGGUGAUUAAUACCGGAUAUGACCACUUUGCGCAUGCGUUGUGGUGGAAAGUUUUUCGGCCAGGGAUGUGCUCGCGGCCUAUCAGCUUGAUGGUGAGGUAAUGGCUCACCAUGGCUUCGACGGGUAGCCGGCCUGAGAGGAUGACCGGUCACACUGGGACUGAGACACGGCCCAGACUCCUACGGGAGGCAGCAGUGGGGAAUAUUGGACAAUGGGCGGAAGCCUGAUCCAGCAACGCCGCGUGAGGGAUGACGGCCUUCGGGUUGUAAACCUCUUUCAGUACCGACGAAGCGUAAGUGACGGUAGGUACAGAAGAAGCACCGGCCAACUACGUGCCAGCAGCCGCCGUAACAC